UACGACCUGUGCAAACGUUAUUCGGAAUCACUGGGCUUACAGGGUGCGUAGGCGGCCUGUCAAGUCGGGUGUGAAAGCCCCCGGCUCAACCGGGGAAUUGCGCCCUAAACUGUCGGGCUGGAGUGAGAUAGGGGUGUGUGGAACUUCCGGUGGAGCGGUGAAAUGUGUUGAUAUCGGAAGGAACGCCGGUGGCGAAAGCGACACACUGGAUCUUGUCUGACGCUGAGGCACGAAAGCCAGGGGAGCGAACGGG
rnacentral:rRNA from 1 species